CCAACGGCCCUCUUUAGGGCCACCAUCUUAGAUUUAUUGCAUUCU
rfam:Strongyloides papillosus strain LIN genome assembly, scaffold: SPAL_contig0000085